rnacentral:rRNA from 1 species
GACGAACGCUGGCGGCGUGCUUAACACAUGCAAGUCGAACGAUGAAGCUGGAGCUUGCUCCGGUGGAUUAGUGGCGAACGGGUGAGUAACACGUGAGUAAUCUGCCCUUGACUCUGGGAUAACUGCGGGAAACUGUAGCUAAUACCGGAUACGACACCUUCGGGCAUCCGAUGGGUGUGGAAAGAAUUUCGGUCAAGGAUGAACUCGCGGCCUAUCAGCUAGUUGGUGAGGUAAUGGCUCACCAAGGCGACGACGGGUAGCCGGCCUGAGAGGGUGACCGGGCACACUGGGACUGAGACACGGCCCAGACUCCUACGGGAGGCAGCAGUGGGGAAUAUUGCACAAUGGGCGAAAGCCUGAUGCAGCAACGCCGCGUGAGGGAUGAAGGCCUUCGGGUUGUAAACCUCUUUUAGCUGGGAAGAAGCGAAAGUGACGGUACCAACAGAAAAAGCACCGGCUAACUACGUGCCAGCCGCCGCAGUAA